rnacentral:rRNA from 1 species
UACGUAGGGGGCAAGCGUUGUCCGGAUUUAUUGGGCGUAAAGAGCGUGUAGGCGGCCAGGUAGGUCCGUUGUGAAAACUCGAGGCUCAACCUCGAGACGUCGGCGGAAACCCUCUGGCUAGAGUCCGGAAGAGGAGAGUGGAAUUCCUGGUGUAGCGGUGAAAUGCGCAGAUAUCAGGAGGAACACCUGUGGUGUAGACGGCUUUCUGGACCAUAACUGACGCUGAGACACGAAAGCGUGGGUAGCAAACAGG